AUUCUUACUCAUGUCUCCAUCCAUCCAUCUACCUAUCACCCCAUCCACAUGUUUAUACUGUUUAUAUUUUACAGGAGUUUUCCAAUAAGUGCUUUAUAAAAACAGCCAGGCAGUUCAGCAUUGUGGAUAAGCUUUUAUAACUUACUUCCACCCUGAAGAUUUCAGAGUUCACAACUUUCAGGAUCUAAGGAAUGGUGACCAUCAUAAGCCUGUUUGUGCUUCUAAAAGGAACACUGACACCUAGAAAUAAGUCAGUUAUCAUCGACAAGGUGAAGAACUACAAAGUUUGGCUUUUGGCGUUGAAAUGAAGAAAGUUGUGUUCAUGUAUACAUAUCUAGACUUCAUUAACUUGCUCCUAUUUCCAUUUUUUUUACCUCCCUGAGACAAAACAAGUAUGAAACUUAUCUUCAAAAUUACAAUUUUGCAUUAUUGUUCAU